rnacentral:rRNA from 1 species
UUCGGAUUGUAGUCUGCAACCCGACUACAUGAAGCUGGAAUCGCUAGUAAUCGCAGAUCAGAAUGCUGCGGUGAAUACGUUCCCGGGUCUUGUACACACCGCCCGUCACACCAUGGGAGUUGGAAAUGCCCGAAGUCGGUGACCUAACCGAAAGGGAGGAGCCGCCGAAGGCAGGUCUGAUAACUGGGGUGAAGUCGUAACAAGGUAGC